rnacentral:RNase_P_RNA from 1 species
CGAGUCGGUCGGACGGCCGCGUCGGGACAGGUCGUGAGGCCUUUCCGCCGAGGAACGUCCGGGCUCCGUAGGGCAAGGUGGUGGGUAACGCCCACCCGGGGUGACCCGCGGGACAGUGCCACAGAGAACAGACCGCCACGCGUCGACGGCUUGCCGGAGGCGCGGGGUAAGGGUGAAACGGUGGUGUAAGAGACCACCAGCGGACCGGGUGACCGGUCCGGCUCGGUAAACCCCACCUGGAGCAAGGUCAGACAGGGAGCGUUCGAGGGCGGCCCGCCCGAGCUCCCGGGUAGACCGCUGGAGGCGUGCGGCAACGUACGUCGUAGAUGGAUGGCCGUCACCCGCGCGGGGGCAACCGCGCGCGGGGACAGAACCCGGCGUACAGACCGACUCGUCCG